GCCCAGGUGGCGGAAUUGGUAUACGCGUACGGCUUAGAACCGUAUGGAGCAAUCCUUGGAGGUUCAAGUCCUCUCCUGGGCA
rfam:Candidatus Pacebacteria bacterium CG2_30_36_39 cg2_3.0_scaffold_19_c, whole genome shotgun sequence.